ACAAAAAGAAGCAUUCAAUACUUUUUAGUUAAGAUCAUGAAAAUACGAAUUUUAUCAUUUUUUUAUUUAAUUCACCUGUCCACUUUAUUGUGGGACCUCGUGUUAUCAUGCAUGAUAAGUUUUAUUGAGUAAUGCAUUUACUGAAGGAAUAACACGUGAUGUGCAGUUAGCCAAUCAGAAUAACGUGUUAUAAUGAAACAUAACAUACAUCUAAUGUAAUUAUAUAAUGAUGAGAUGUGUAAUGAUGGCAUUUUAAAAAGAUCUACAGUAGAACCCACUGUUCAGUCAUGACAAGCAUUUUUGUAACUGUCAGAAUGUCUUAAAAAUCGACUAAACCUGCCCCGACACAGGGUUGAUGUCGAGUUAACUCAGGUUCAAAAGGUCAAACUCGGGGGUUCGGUUGUCAAUCGAGUAAACUCGACAGACUCUGAGUUGGACAAUACCAACUAGAAAUAAUGUUUAAUCUAAAAGGUUCUUUUAAAUAACAUUUCUCUAGUGACAGGAAUGCUGAUUAUCAAUUAUAAGAAUUUUAUUCACCAAAAUGAUUCGUGUAAUAAAGCUUUUUAUGUCCCUUUUGCCGUAGCGGGAGCAUUAAGUUUUACCCUUGUCCGACUGUCUGUACGUACGUACGUCCCAAACAUUGAUGUCUGUUCUCUAACUUAAGUUUGCCUGAACCAACUGUUGUCAAACUUAUACAAAAUGCGUAUUACCACAAAACUUGCUUAUUACCACAAAACUCAGAUCAAAGUUUGAAUUUUGGUGAAGUCACUUUAAACGUUCUAGAGUUAAGUCUUUUUUUAGGUCUUUCCACUUUUCGUGAAAAGACCUUUUGUUUUUCUUCUGAUUAUUUUUUUUUUUUUCUGCCGUCUGAGAUGCUUUUUUGUCUUACAACGUAUCGAAUAGAUUUUUGGCCAAUGAUGUUGUACAGUAAUAGGGAUUUCAAAACUCAUCCUGUGUGACCGAACACUUAUUCUUAUGGGAGUUAUCUCCCCACGUCCCCUUUUACUUGUUAUCGCUAUAUCUCUAAAACCGUAAAAGAUUUAAGCAAACUGUUUUCACCAAAUUGUUUGUCUACUCUUACGAAUGAUUUGGUUAAUUUUGACUUGAGUGAUCAGAAGACAUCUUAUGGGAGUUAUUUCCCUUUUAAAAUUUACGAUAGGCGAUUUUUUGGAUAAAUUCAUACGUUAUAAGUCGAAGAGGCCUACAGUCUUUUGAUAUGAAAUCCUUGGUCCAUUUCAAGGAAAUUGAGGUCAAGGUCAAAGGUCAAGGUCAUGUUAUAAAUUUUGAAUUUUGCUUGUUAUCGUUAUUCAAAAGUAACUGUGGCAGUAAAUGAUAUAAUGUCUAUGCCAAAUAACUGUUUACAAAAAGGCGCAAAUUCAACCUUUUUAAGUCGAAGAGUUUUGGUUAACCCUUAUAAGAGUUUUCUCUCCUUUUGUAUUUGAAAUCAGUAUUUCUCCACAACCAUACAAGUGAUUGACCUGGGGUCUUUUGAUUUGAGUUCACUGACCUAUGACCUUGAAAUUGGGAUCAAGGUCGAAGGUCAAGGUCAUGUUAUAAAUUUUGAAUUUUGCUUGUUAUCCUUAUUCAAAAGAAACUGUUUCAGUAAAUGAUAUGAUGUGUUUGCCAAAUAACUGUUUACACUAAGGCGCAACUUCAACCUAUUUAAGACGAAGAGUUUUGGUUAACCGUCAUAGGAGUUUUCUCCCCUUAUGUAUUUGAAAUCAGUAUUUCUCCACAACCAUACAAAUGAUUGACCUGGGGUCUUUUGAUUUGAGAUCACUGACCUAUGACCUUGAAAUUGAGGUCAAAGUCAAUUUGACGUUCUAGAUUUUUACCUUGGCUAAAAAUUAUUUCCUGUUUAUAAUAAAACAAUCAAGUCUUCUGCAUAUACCUAUUAAUCUUAUUUUUUAUAUAUCAAUUUGAAGAACCAAAUUACAUCAACAAGGAGUGACAUUUU
rnacentral:lncRNA from 1 species